rnacentral:rRNA from 1 species
ACGUAGGUGGCAAGCGUUGUCCGGAAUUAUUGGGCGUAAAGCGCGCGCAGGCGGAUCUGCCAGUCUGUCUUAAAAGUUCGGGGCUCAACCCCGUGAUGGGAUGGAAACUACAGAUCUAGAGUAUCGGAGGGGAAAGUGGAAUUCCUAGUGUAGCGGUGAAAUGCGUAGAUAUUAGGAGGAACACCAGUGGCGAAGGCGACUUUCUGGACGAUCACUGACGCUGAGGCGCGAAAGCCAGGGGAGCGAACGG